GGAGAGCUUGCUCUCUGGAUCAGUGGCGAACGGGUGAGUAACACGUGAGCAAUCUGCCCCUGACUCUGGGAUAACAGUUGGAAACAGCUGCUAAUACCGGAUACGAGACGGAGAGGCAUCUCUACCGUCUGGAAAGUUUUUCGGUCUGGGAUGGACUCGCGGCCUAUCAGCUAGUUGGUGAGGUAAUGGCUCACCAAGGCGACGACGGGUAGCCGGCCUGAGAGGGCGACCGGCCACACUGGGACUGAGACACGGCCCAGACUCCUACGGGAGGCAGCAGUGGGGAAUAUUGCACAAUGGGCGCAAGCCUGAUGCAGCAACGCCGCGUGAGGGACGACGGCCUUCGGGUUGUAAACCUCUUUUAGCAGGGAGGAAGCGAAAGUGACGGUACCUGCAGAAAAAGCACCGGCUAACUACGUGCCAGCAGCCGCGGUAAUACGUAGGGUGCAAGCGUUAUCCGGAAUUAUUGGGCGUAAAGAGCUCGUAGGCGGUUUGUCGCGCCUGCAGUGAAAAUCCGGGGCUCAACCCCGGACUUGCUGUGGGUACGGGCAGACUAGAGUAUGGUAGGGGAGACCGGAAUUCCUGGUGUAGCGGUGGAAUGCGCAGAUAUCAGGAGGAACACCGAUGGCGAAGGCGGGUCUCUGGGCCAUAACUGACGCUAAGAAGCGAAAGCAUGGGGAGCGAACAGGAUUAGAUACCCUGGUAGUCCAUGCCGUAAACGUUGGGCGCUAGGUGUGGGACUCAUUCCACGAGUUCCGUGCCGCAGCUAACGCAUUAAGCGCCCCGCCUGGGGAGUACGGCCGCAAGGCUAAAACUCAAAGGAAUUGACGGGGGCCCGCACAAGCGGCGGAGCAUGCGGAUUAAUUCGAUGCAACGCGAAGAA
rnacentral:rRNA from 1 species